AGUAGUGUUUCCUUGUUAGAAGA
rnacentral:siRNA from 1 species